CUUUUUAAUUGUUGUGUUCAUUAAUGUUUUGUGUUGAGAGUUGAGAGUGGUGUGAUUUGCUCUUCAAGGCCACCGUAGCAUCUAGAUUCUAAACCCAGUUCAGUGUCCACUUCACUGCAUCCCAGUGACCAGCAGGACCUCAUCAAACUAGAAUUUCAACUUGUGUAACAUCUUGUUUGGGAUGCAGUCCAAAAGCAGUGAAAUGCCAACAGGACUCUAGGAAAGCCUUGCUCAACUCUGCUGGCAGAAAUGUGUGCGUAAGAGAGGCUCAGUGACGUACUUCAACCCUCUGAAGUCUCUCAUGGAGGACAUCAGCUGAGAAAUUAUUAAUUAGUUUUGCACAUGAGUGGUAGGCUUGAAAUGCUGUCUGCUGUACUUGGAUUCUACGCACUGCUAUCUCUGCUCUCAGUGGACAGGGAGGACUGUUUACACCUAUGAAUUUAAUUACACUUGUUUUUUUUUUUUAAAUCGCAGAUCCAAAAAUAAUAAAAAUAUAUAUGUUUUGUGUUAAUUCUGGAGAUCAAUGUGACACAUGAUGUCCUGUGUGGUCUGGAGCAAAAACCAAUUGUCCAAAGCUGAAGAGAAAUCUGUAAAAUAAGGGAAAGUAUCAGACAGACUUUUUCAUAACUCGACAGGAGCCGGUAUUAAACCUACUGCUCUGGUUCAGAUGAAGAGCAGGGAUCUUUUUAAUCCCACCAAGAGACACAUAUCCUUAAACAUAAAACCAGAUGUCAGUCUUUUAGCAAAGCAGUUCCUUAUCUAAGAAGAUUACAACAUACAUACACAUCUUUUUUUG